GGAAGGGUACAGCUCAGUGGCAGAGCGCCUGCUUAGCAUGCAAGACAUCCCGGGUUCAAUCCCCAGUACCUCCA
rnacentral:tRNA from 1 species